rnacentral:lncRNA from 1 species
GUGAUUGUUGAAUGAAAUUCAAGCAACAAAGGUGUGGAACGCUGAGGUUUUGGAGACGGUAGGGGAGCUGCUAUUUCCAAAUGGCGUGGCGUUGGUCGCCUGUUAACGUCCCUGCUGACGCACUGGAGCCAAACCUGCGGUUGCAAAUCUUUCCUCGAAUGAACCCUAUGUCGGAAAUGACUUACGAGCUCGGCCUUUACCAGUCGAUAUCUUCAGUCCUAAGCUAAUACGGUUUCAUAUCUGCGACCCACGCAAGUUGUUGCUGUGUGCAAGUUCUUGUUCGCCAAACAUCGGCAUUGGUUUAUGCCCAGGUGCUGCGACUGCUUUGCAGAGCUGGCGAAUUGGGUACAAAGGCCUCAUAGCGGGCACAAACAGUGCAGGACAAGCGAGGACACAACAUGCUUGCUUGCAGCAAAGAAGGACAUAACACGAGCACCGACAAGACGAAGACAGACAUAAUACAUAUGCUGACAAAAUGAAGAAGGGACAAGACAAAGUGGCCUUCAUCAUGUGUGCUGUUUGUGCAGUUUGUUCCUUAUGCAAGAUGACUCAUCUAGACCAGUGUUGCACUCUUCUGCUUGAUCAUCCUAAAAUUCUGUCUUUGGUAUUUCAUGAUUGUUAGGGAUUUCUUAAACAAUUACGCUUAGUAGUAGUAGUUUUGUUGUAAUAAAAGGAGAAAAGGGAGCUAUGAAACGAAGAGUCAUGGGCAUUGUAACUGUUGCACUCCUCAGUGGACACCUGAACUGUCCCGCAGCCGUGCGAAAGAUGCAGCUGAAAAGAAAAGAUAGGGGAAAGUUACAAUAUAAUAGAUUCUCUCUUAGUUAUUACUGUUGCCGCAAAAGUGAAUGACAGCAACUAUGCAGUCUCGUUACGCAUAAAUAAUUUUUUACUUGUGGAUAAUCUUCACUUGGGUGUGGACCUUGUCUAAGUGUAACAAAAAAAUGACAGACAUUGUUAGACAGGUAAGAGGCAAUGGAUGAUGAUGCUGGGGUUGUGCAAAUAGCAAUUCUUAGCACUGAAUUUAGUAAAAAAUUAAUUCGGAUGAUUAUGUAAAAUAUUUGUCGAACUGGCAUUGUUGACUUGUCAUUUUUGUAUAUGAGAAAGCUGUGCAUGACAGCUAGAAUUGAAUUAGUUUUGCCAUU